rnacentral:rRNA from 1 species
AAUAUUGGACAAUGGGCGCAAGCCUGAUCCAGCCAUGCCGCGUGUGUGAAGAAGGUCUUCGGGUUGUAAAGCACUUUAAUUUGGGAGGAAGGGCAGUUAACGAAUACUUAAUUGUUUUGACGUUAUCAAAAGAAUAAGCACCGGUCAAUUUCGUGCCAGCAGCCGCGGUAAUAAGAAGGGUGCAAGCGUUAAUCGGAAUUACUGGGCGUAAAGAGCGCGUAGAGGGGUCGGUAAGUUGGAAGUGAAAGCCCCCGGCUCAACCUGGGAAUUGCUUUCAAAACGGGCGAGCUAGAGUACAGUAGAGGGUGGUGGAAAUUCCUGUGUAGCGGUGAAAUGCGUAGAUAUAGGAAGGAACAUCAGUGGCGAAGGCGACCACCUGGACUGAUACUGACACUGAGGUGCGAAAGCGUGGGGAGCAAACAGG